CGGUUUGUUGACUCUGCGGAUGCAGAGCUGCAGAUAGGGAGGGCCAACUAUAAAGUUACACUCAAAUUUUCCACUGCUGGGUGGGUUGGUGUCCCCUACCUCUGCACUGUUCAAGGGUCAACUAUAGUUGGGUCUUGAUUUUUCAAUCUGACCAGCUCUGUUUUUUAACUGGAGCAUUUAUAUUUAGUGGAAUUAUUAAUACAGUUGGGUUUAAAUCUGUGUUAGUUCGCAAGGGCUGUCAUAGCAAAGUGCUUUGUGCUGGGGGCCUUAAACAACAGAAAUUUAUUUACUCACAGCUCUGAAGCAAGAAGCCUGAGAUUAUGGUGUUGGCACGGUUGGUUCCUUCUGAGACCCUCUGGCUGUCAAAUGGUCCAACUUGAAACAGAGUUCUCCAUUAGACCAGCCUCACCUGGCCCCACAACCCAUCCCCGAGACCAGCAGGCCCUUUGAGCUGACUGGUAUCCUGAGACCUUCUCUGGACUACAACCUUCAGGUUGUAGCAUCGCUUCAACCUGAUUCCUUUGCACUUGGCUUUCAGGUCACUGGACAGCUGCUCUGAGUGGUCCGCUUCAGCAUCAGCUCCUGGCACAAGUUCAGCCCUAGGCGGGCCUGUGGAAGGGCAGGGCCUAGAAGCCAGCCUGAAGAUGGUGCUGCUGAGCCAGCCUCAUUCCUUUGCAGCAGCUGUUGGUCUCAAUAAUCUGUUGGUGUGGUACAUAGUUUCCCACUCCCAGGUGGGUCAGAGCUGGGAGAGGAAUAUCUCUGGGGAAGAGUGAGCCACAGAAAAAGAAGAGCCAAGAACGACACAAAAGCCACAAGAGCCAAAGGAGUGUCCAUCACUGGUACUCAAGAUUGCUUCGUGAUCCUGUGCUGUACUGAGGCUGAAGGGAAGAGAUACACCGGCUCUGAGCAUCCAGCCUUGGGUAAGAAGGCCUAGGUUUUCCCAUCAGGAUCAGCCUAUAAAACCAUCCUGCCUAGGAGGAAAUGACUCCAAAAAUUAAGUUCUCACAGUGGCUAAGGAAUAUUUUUGAAAGUAUCAGAACUGAUGGCUGGGACAGGGUCAGCACUUAUUACAGGUAGGCUAAAAACUCACUCCCAUUUAACCAUCAAAAGCCUGAGAUGGUUCUAUCAUUACCCCCAGUUUUGCAAAUCAGGAAACUGAGCCUCAAGAGAUGUAGCCACUUUGCCCAAAGUCACAAACCCAAGCGUCUCUGGCUCUUCUUGCCCAGACCAUUCAGGUCCCUUUUUUUUUUUUUUUUCCUUUUUGCAUUUGGUCUGCAAUGAGGGACAAUGACCCCAUACCUGCUAGACAAGACCUUAGGGACCAUCUGCUUCAAUCUCCUUAUUUUAGAGAGAGGAAACUUGGGGCCAGAGAGAUAAAGGGACAUGUUCCUUGGGUCUCACAGAGCCAGGAACUGCUCUGCAACGGAAUGGCAAUGUGCGCAAGAGUACCAGGCCAAGCUCCACUUCACAGAGGGGGACGUGAAGCCCUGAGCGCGGGUCCCCGAUCCAUCACAGGCAGAGCGGAAUCCAACUCCGGGGGCGUCCGUUAUCCUGCCGGAUGCUACCCGCACCUUCACCUGGGGCGCCAAUCAUCAACUCACCGGCCCGCGCCCCGGGAAUACCUGUCGGCGGGGCGCAGGCUCUUGGCAGGGGGUGACAAAGCGCUGAGUGGGACCAGCAGGGCCGCGCAGACCAGUGCCCGACUUGGUCUCGCCAACCCGGGUCCUUUCGCCUCAGAACGCGGAGGCCCGGAGGCUGAGGAGAAUUGGGAAGCGCUGGCCCCAGCCCGAAGGCAGGGCCACCUGGUCUCCUUUCCUCGGGCUCCUAUUUUGCCCCCUCAACAGUCUAUGGACCAGGUCCUGGCGUCGGGGCACCACAGAGAGACCGACAACCGACUCUCCUCAGAGUCUAGCCGCCGGCACCCGGGAGGGUAAGGUUCCUAUGGAAACGGGGGCGAGGGGGAAUCUUCGCGCCUGCGCAGCGGCGCUAGGCACACUGGGAAAUGUGGUUUCCAGACUGUCACCCGACGGCCAGAGGAACGGACGCAAGAUGGCGCCCCAGCGUCGCAGUCCAUUCUGAGCCUCCAGGUUCCCCGGCCGGCCUGGGCCCUUUCUGGGUGCUGCCGGGGUAGUAGAGGCCGUGGAGGCCGAAAGGUAGUUUCUCUUGGUAGCUGCGGCUCUGAGGCGUCUGGGAAGCGAGGUGAAGAGGGGUGGGGGUGGGGGUCGCGGUCUUCGGAGCGUUUCGUCUUGCCGUUUGAAAAUUUAUCCUGAGGAGGGGAUGCCCUGGCUGGUGACUCGUCCCAGGCCGGGCCGAGCCGGGCCGGCCGGAGGGAGAAAGAUGUGGAGAUGGGAGUUGGCCCAGGAGCUACCGGGCCUCGGUUUCCUUAUUUCUAAAAGGGUGAUAAUUGUAAUAGCUCCCAUUUCUCCUCUUGAGAGUGUUACAAGGUUUAUAUGAGAUGAUUGAUGUGCAGAUUGGACAGUCCUUUGAGAAUGUAAACAGGCAUUCCCAUUCUCUGUAAAUUAGUGCAAUUUAUGGUAAGGAAAUUAGGGUAGUGCCUUUUAGAAUUAAAAAUGCACGUAGUGGGACUUCCCUAGCGGUCCAGCGGUUAGAACGCCAUGCUUCCAGUGCAGGGGGCGUGGGUUCCAUCCGUGGUCAAAUUUUUAAAAAGAAAAAUAAAAUUUUAAAAAUGAAAAUAAUAAAAAAGAUGCACAUAACCUCUGCUUCAGCGAUUCUAGAAAUAAUUCCUAUGAAAUUAGUGGUCAUGUGUGCACAAGAAAGUAUAUACAAAGUAAUUAGGCAUUACUUGAAAUGGAAACAAAACAACAAAUCAUUGAUAGAUGACCACUUAAAUAAUGAUGGAUUCCAUUAAAGAGGAUAUGUGUGGUUAUUUUUAAAAUUAGACAGAGCUUACUGUACUGAUGUGCAGCUCUCUGUGAUAUGAAAAAAAUUGUCAAAAUGCAGGAUGUUAAUAAUAAUGAUUUAAUUUAUAUUUUAAAAAGAAUAUACAAAUAUAUUGGAUGACUUAGCAUGGAAUGUCUUUGGAGGGAUUCAAGCUGGUAACAGUGUUUGCCUGUGAAGGAUUGGAGGGCAAGAUCAGAUGGAGACACUAUUUUCAUAUCUUUUUUUUUUUUAAUACUGUAUUUUUUGCCCCUUUAGCAAUUUGUGUGAUCUUUGUCUAUACAUAUAGUUCUUUCUUUUUGGCGUGGGGAUGGGGGUGGGGGGUGGGGCACGGUGCCACCUGGCUUGAGGCAUCUCAGCUUCCCAACCAGGGAUUGAACCCAGGCCCCAGCAGUGAAAGCCUGGAAUCCUAACCACUCGGCCACCAGGAAACUCCCAGUAUACAUAUGGUUCUUAAUCAUUUAUCUGCAAUUUUGAUACAGAUAAUUUUCCUUCCAAUUUUUGUUUCUCCACGUGGUGAAUUCUUACUUCUCAGAGUCCGUAGAUUAUAGUGGGCCCCACAGCUCUGAGUUCCUGAUUGAAUCCUGCCUUCCCAGCUGCUCAGACUUCAGGAGGGCAGGGCCUGGCCUUGACUUCCGGCCCAACAUUGUCACCCCCACUUCCCCCCAGCCUAGGCCUCGGACUGCUGAAAGGGCAGCCUGGGUGGGAACCAGGGUUGCCUGCAGACAGCUCAGUAGGGUGGAUCAGCCUAGUGGAUCAAGAGUCAGAUCUAGCUUUUCUGAACCUCACAUUGUGACCCUGAACCUGCUACCCACAGAAAACGAUUCCUCUUCUAGAGAGCACGUUGAGGCUGAAUUCUGUCAAUGUAUAGGUGACGUGUAUUGUUAAAAUAUCAAAGCAGGAGAGGGAAGCAUAGGGAUCUCCUAGUUUAAUCCUUUAGUUUUACAGAAAGAAACAGGGACUUAAGGUGAAGUAACAUGCAAGUGAUAAAGCUAGGGCUACAACCCAAGUCUCUGUCCACCAGGGUUAGAGCAGGGCUGGGGGUCCAACCAUGGUCUGGGUGAGAGAUUCACUUUUAGAACUGAGCAUGACAUCUCAGUUAACAAGAACAUUUGCUACCAGCUCCUAUCUGUGAGGUCUGCUGCGAGGGAAGGAGUUGCACCCGCCCACUCCCCGCCCCCAACCAAACUAGUGUUAUAGGGCACCGUGUUAUAUUAUCUUGGGAAGCAGGAAGAGAAGUGACAAUGAUGGACCUGCCUACUCUUCUUGAACACUGUAACUGCACAGAAAGAACCCCUCGGCAGAGGGAAGGGCCCGUCAAGGCUCCUUCUUCCCUGGCAGUGGUGGGCUGGCUUGGAAAAUGAGGCUUUCUUGCAUUGUAGCAGGAAGAUUCUUGGGACCCAAAGUGUGUUCAGGAACUAGCAGCAAGUGUCUGAAAGGAACCUCAGUUUCCGGGACAGGCUCGGUCCUGUCCAGAUAGGCAUUGGCAGCUUCCACUUCCGCGUAGGUAACUCCCUUCUGCUGCCCCAACAGCGUCAAGCACCUGCUGCCCAGUGUAGACUUGUUCCCCUGCUGACCUGCCUGAGGGGGUGUGUGCCGCUAGCAUUUACCCAGGCCCUGCCCUGGGAGAUGAGGGAGAUAGCUCCCGCCUCUUCUCUUCCCCAUUCUUCCUCCCACCCCACCCCAAACACACCACUGCCCACA